AAUGCCCGAAAGGGUGACGAAGCGACGCCGCGUGUGGGAAGAAGGCCUUCGGGUUGUAAACCACUGUCGGGAGUUAGGAAAUGCAGGUGCGUUAAUAGCGCACUUGCUUGACUAAGGCUCCAGAGGAAGCCACGGCUAACUCUAUGCCAGCAGCCGCGGUAAUACAGAGGCGGCAAGCGUUGUUCGGAAUUAUUGGGCGUAAAGAGCACGUAGGCGGCCUUGCAAGUCAGUUGUGAAAGCCUUCCGCUUAACGGAAGAACGGCAUCUGAUACUACAGGGCUUGAGUACGGGAGGGGAGAGUGGAACUUCUGGUGGAGCGGUGAAAUGCGUAGAUAUCAGAAGGAACGCCGGCGGCGAAAGCGACUCUCUGGUCCGAAACUGACGCUGAGUGUGCGAAAGCUAGGGGAGCAAACGGGAUUAGAUACCCCGGUAGUCCUAGCCGUAAACGAU
rnacentral:rRNA from 1 species